ACAUGUAUUACUUGUAGAGAAUGCAUUCCUCUCCAGACAAGCCUUUAGCAUCAGUUAAAAGAAAUGUGUGAUGCUGGUAAAACAAAAUUUUUGCUUCAGAAAAGGAAGAUGCCGUACAUGAAAUAUGCAAUGAAAUGCCUCUGUGAUACUGAAGGCAGAGUUCUGACUCACAUUGCUAAUUUUCCUUUCAGACAUGCAGAUGGAAGUGAAACGUGAGGAUCCCUGAGCACAGGAGAAUCCCAAGCCACAUCCCUGCAGCACGAGGACACAGUGUUAUGUGGCAAUCUGGAAGAUUUCUCUCCAGCUUUAUUCCAUAGCAGGUAUAAUUAACAAAGAUUUAUCUCACUCUCGGUUACUACUGGGUGGUAAGUAGAAUGAUGUAUUCACAAAUAUGAUUGUUAAAUCCAGAGCCCCUUUGUUUUUCCAUGCACUUUGGAGAAGGUGCCUUUUUUUUUUUUUUCUUUUUUUUUUUUACAAUAAACAUUCACAUAAGAGCUGUUUAUGUGUAAAUAUUUCAGCUUGCCAACAGAAGUCUUUGUAUGUCAACACUUAACAAACACUUAUGCAUACAAGAAGGUCUUUCCUUUAUUUUUUUCACUCUUUCCCUACUCUUUUCUCAUUUAGAAGAGUGAAACAAAAGUUAAGUCUCUAAGGCAGCAAAAAAACUGAUUGUUCUUUUCAUAUUUACUAGAAUUUAGAGCUAAUAUACUUGUUUAAUGUGAUCCAGAGCCCAGAAUUUAAAGCAGUCAUUAUUCUCCAUGGGAUUUGAAUAAUUUACUGGCUGAAAUACAUUUUUUGUCUAAAUGUGAUAGAAAAUACAAACUGCAGUACAGUUGUCAAAUAUGAGAAGGGCAUUGCUGAAUGGCAGAAUCAUGAGCCCAUUUGCUACUUGAAUAAUUAGGAAAAUUGACACUUGAAUAAUUAGGAAAAUUAAAACAUUUAUAAAAAGCAGCCUGCUACCUGCAAAAUGACAGAUAAGUGUAACAAAAAAUUAAUAAAGUCACCAUGUUGAAUGAUGAUGUCCACUAGCAGUAGUUUAAGAAUUUUUUUUGUCAAGACAGAUGACUGUUUCAGUUCUAUUCUUGGUGUUCCUAAUUACCAAUUUGAAAAACAAAAAAAAACAAUACUAAAAAAAAAGCCAAAAAAGCAGCAGCAAUGAGAAACUAAUUUUUGUAAUGCUGGGACACAAAACAGGCCAACAAUAGCAGUUGUUUACUGCAAAUAAAUAUGCAGAAAUGUCAAUUGGUGGUUACAGAGUCCCAUGGUGAUUAUCAGAACAGACUUUCAUCUCCCCUUUUGGACAGAAUUUUUAUGUCUGGAUAUAGAAGUUCACAUUUAUAUUAGAGUUUGGAGAGCUGGAAAUCCAUGGACUCCCCCUAAUUAAUUCACAAAUUUAUUUACAUGAAGAACACUGACAACCUUUGAGUACUUUUUAUAAAAGAUAGGGUAAUGCUGCUUAUAGUCAGAUAAGUGAGGCAGCCUCUGCAAGAGUUAAACUAAGCCACACCUUUUUUAUUUUUUUUUAACCCCAAAAUAAAAGCAUUUGUCCAGCAUUAGGAUAUAUCAGAACAAAACCUUUUUUGGAGUAACUGAAGCCUGGGGCUGAACUGAGCCAUCAUCAGUAGGAAUUGCACCUUCAUAUUUCAAAAAUAAAGUGUUUGUUAUUAAAUCUUUCUAGAUGCAGACACUGCACUGGAAUCAUUACUGAGAAACCUGGUGUUGUAAUGGAAUAUUGAUGCCCAUUUUAACAUGGGAUGUUUCCUGCCAUCAUGCAAUUUAAUUAAGUUCACAUAUGAGAAAUGCCUUCUAAAUUGCAACAAUUCCCCACCCACAGAAUUAACAUAAUUUCGUACCUCAGAGGUAAACAGAAAUAAGAAUAAACACUGAAGCUGCUCAUCUGCUCAGUUAUUUCCUUGGUCAACACUAACAGGACCCCAAUAAUAUUAAAAUAAAUCUGAAGAAACUUAUGAAGAAAAGUUCAUAAUUAUUUUAUUCCAAAAAUUGCAAAGGCUACUAUGCAGUGCUUCCCAUCCUGCUUUAUAUCUGCUGUGACAAAGUAAGGCUCUGGCUUUUUUUCCACUUCAACACUUACAUUUACUAUUUCACUCUGGUGACUUGAGUUACAUUUGGAAAAACUAUUUUCUGUAGAUAUGUAUACCUGUGCUUGCACAGAGGGAAAUACAUUUAAAUGAGGAAGUAUUUGAACUGGUUAUAGCAAUUAAAAUACAGAGAAGAAAAGUUAAACUGCUUGUGACAUUGCUAUGGAAGGAUUAUGGUGUCAAAAGGGACGGACAUAAACCAGAGUUGGAAAGAAAAAAGCAAGCAAAUUAUUAUUGGUGGUCUCUGUUUUAUACCAAGAUGAACAUGUGCACAUGUAUUAUAACUUAUUUGACAUGUUGUAACCAGGAAAUAAAAUUUAAAAAUGCCUUUGACUGCAAAAAGAAGUCCAAAAAGGAAACGGGCUACUUGUGAGUUUGUACUUUUGGCAACUGGUAUGUGAUUUCCUCCCCAAACAUCCAUAAAAACCCCAAAAUAAACAAGGCUUUUUUCCUUUAAAGACCUCUUAAUUGUGUCAAAGUUGUUGGCAGGAAGAGAGAUCUAUGACCUGCAACCCAGUAAAAUCUCAGAAUUCAACAGAACAUGUAACCCCCUUCAAAUUACUGAAUUCCUGCACAUCCUGUACCCACUGCCUGUACCAUCAGUCCAUCUGACACAAAUCUGGAAAAUAUUCUGAGUUAACCUUUAUAACCUCGACAGUAAAAGUGAAAUCUCUGAGCCAACAUAUGCACCCAGACUGGAGGUUUAUUGGUGUCAGAGUCAUAGUACCUCCCUGUAAUGGUUUUAACUAAAAAAAAACAAAUAACCAAAAAACUCCUCCCUGGGGAAAAUGUUAAGGCUGCUCAAGAAAA